GCCGCAGCUGGGACUGGUUAACCACGGGAAAUACUGCAUACCUAAUUAAUCUUCGGACUCGAAGACACGCCUUAUUAUCAGUAUAUUGAACGAAUUUCAACUGCUACUUUAGUUUUACACGUAACGUAAUUCAUUCAAGCGAAGCAAUACAUUGCAUUGACCGGAAGUUAACUUUUUUUUUCUCAUGUAGAGAUAGUUUGAGACCACCUAGAUCUAGAAUAGACCUACUUUGAGUGGAAGCAGACGUGUUGUUAUUGGUGUUCUUGUGAACAAUAUUUCUUUUUCAAUCAUCUACUUUUUUGGAUAAUUUAAUGUGAUUCAACUAUUGGAUAUUCCUUACAACUUGGAUUAUUGAAAUAGCACGGAUUAUUGGAGCAGAUUGGAUUAUUUAUUACUCAAAGAACCUAAGACAAAGGACCUCCAUCCUAUAUCCUUAGGAAUUCUCUGGGGUCUGCUAGAGUUACAAAAAUGUACAUAUUAUGAAACAAUUUGGUUUCUAUAAAGUACAGAGCUCAAAGUUUUUUCUUUGAAAAUGGAGUCAUCCCAAAGAUAAGUCUGUAAGAUAUUUCUUUAGCUUUUGUUGCAAUGUGUUUGUUAUGAAGGUUAGUAAAAGUGUCUUUAAAAUCUGUUAUAUUUAAAUCUUUUCCCCAUUUAAUCCUAAUAGCUAAAUUUUCUUGUAACUGUUUUUUUAAUGUUGUGUAUAUUUCUUUAUAUUUAUUGUGUAUUGAAGGUUCAUUGCCUGAAAGAGUUCUUGAGAUGGAUCUAUAAAAAGGAUGUAAGUUUGUGCCAAAAUAGUGUGGAAUGUUGUUUUGUAUUGGAAUUAAAUUGCUUAAUCUCAAACCAUAAUAAUAUAUUGUAAAAGGAAAAUCAUUUGGAUUCUUAACUACUUGACCUAUGAAUUUUAAUCUGAGUGCACAUAUUUUAGUUUUGAUGUCUUGUAAAUUGAUCCCCCCAUCCUCUUUGUUUUGAAUAAUUGUAGUAUGUUUGAUGUUUCUAAGUGUGUUUUUGAAGAUGAAACUUCUAAUUAUGUUAUUUAAUUGAAAUAUGUAUUUUGUAGGAGGUUCUAUAAUAUUGGCUAAAUAGACUAUCUUUGGGAUGACCAAAUUGUUUAUAAGGAUGGCUCUACCAAAAAUAGUAGAACCUGUGUGCUUGUACCUGUUAACUAAAUUGGAUGCCUUAAUAAUAAUAUUUUUCCACUGAUCUUCACAGAAGAAAAAGGGAUUACUAUUGUAUUCUAUACCACAUAUUUUGAUUUUAUUUACAAGUUUAAAAGAAUAUUUUUCCUUAAAUGUCCACCUCCCUACACCCAUUAUUGAGGAUUUAUUUAUGUUAAUUUUAGAACCACUGGCAUGGCCAAAAAUUGUAAACUUUUUAACUAUGUUAUUAAUAUCAUUUUCAGAGGAGGGAAAAAAUGUUGUGUCAUCGGCAUAAGCCUUAACUUUAACUACUGGGAUGGGUCCCGGGAUUUUUGUUCCUUUGAUAGAUGGAUCUGACCUAAUAGAUUCUAGAAAAGGUUCUAGACAAAGGAUGUAUAAAAAGGGGGAUAAAGGACAGCCUUGUCUAACAGAUCUUUGAAUUGGAAAGGAUUGGCUUAAAGAAUGGUUGAUUAUUAGUCUACUGCUGGCAUUGGUGUAAAUUAGUUUAAUGCAUUUUAUUAAAAAAGGGCUGAUUUUACAUUUUUCUAAUAUUUUAAAGAGGAAAUUAUGGCUGACUCUAUCAAAUGCUUUCUCUUGGUCUACAGAUAAGAAGGCAACGCUAGAGUUUUUUUCAUGACUGUACAUGAUAAAAUCUCGAAUGAAAUGUGUCUUUCCAUCAAUACUCCUGUCGGGGUGGGUGCAGUAUUGGUCUUGUCCUACGAGUUGGGGAGUGAAGGGUUUAAGUCGUUUAAAAAUCAUUUUUGUCAGUAGUUUAUAGUCUGUAUUGAGUAGUGAGAUGGGCCUGUAGUCACUUGGAGAACUGUUAUCUGUUGUUUUUUUGGCUAAUAGUGUAAUAUAUGCUUCGUUGAAAUUUUUUGGAAGUUGUCCUGUUUUAACAGCGUCACUAUACAGUCGCAGUAAUAGAGGACUUAUUAAGGGAAAAAAUGUCUUAUAGAAUUCAAAUGUCAGACCGUCCGGUCCGGGAGAUUUGUUGUUUUGUGUCGAGUCUAGUGCAGUUUGGAGUUCGUCUAGAGUAAAUGGGGUCUCCAAAAGUUCUUCAUCGGUCUGCUUCAACUGUUUACAAUAUUUUAGAAAACAUUCUUGAGCCUCCUUGUUUAUAGGUUCCAACUGGUAGAUAUUUUUAAAAUGACUUAUGAAAACAUCUUUAAUUUUGUCUUCGUCUUCAACUUUUGAGCCAUGUAUAUCAAGAACACUUGUUAUGCAUUUACUAGACUGAACAUUUUGUUCGAUCGACAAGAAAAGUUUGUUUGGGCCUUCUUGACUUAAAUAGUUCCUGCAUCUAACUUCAGCUCCUUUGUAGAUGUAGUUAUUUAAUUCUUCCAACUUUAAUGAGGCUUGAGUUCUAUCUAUUUCGUCCUCAGCGUGUAAUAGUGUGUGCUUCAGUUUCUCUAGUUCUUGUUUUCUACGUGUUUGUACUAGUGUUGAUAUGACCUGACAUUGUUGUUUUAUUGAGUUUUUUUACUAGUGUCCAUGUUGUUGUUAGGUUAAAGUUUGGAUUGUUUGUAUCUUGUAAGCAAGAAUUGAGUGUGUUUGAGAUUAAUUCUAUAAAAAGAGGUAUUUCUAGAAGAGAAUCAUUAAAUUUCCAAUGACUAGUUUUCCUUGUCUUUUUUUUAAUUUUCGUACUUAUCGUAACUAUUAUUGCCUUAUGGUCUGAAUAUUCCAGAGACUCUUCUAGAUGAGCUACCUUACUUAUAUGAUACUCGGUUGGUACGUAAAUUCUAUCUAGUCUGGAAGUUACGGGAUGAGCUUUAUUCACCGAAGUAGUGUCCUGACC